AGCGAACGCUGGCGGCAGGCUUAACACAUGCAAGUCGAGCGGGCGUAGCAAUACGUCAGCGGCAGACGGGUGAGUAACGCGUGGGAACGUACCUUUUGGUUCGGAACAACCCAGGGAAACUUGGGCUAAUACCGGAUAAGCCCUUACGGGGAAAGAUUUAUCGCCGAAAGAUCGGCCCGCGUCUGAUUAGCUAGUUGGUGAGGUAACGGCUCACCAAGGCGACGAUCAGUAGCUGGUCUGAGAGGAUGAUCAGCCACAGUUGGGACUGAGACACGGCCCAAACUCCUACGGGAGGCAGCAGUGGGGAAUAUUGGACAAUGGGCGCAAGCCUGAUCCAGCCAUGCCGCGUGGAGGAUGACGGCCU
rnacentral:rRNA from 1 species